UGCAGUCGAACGAUGAUCCCAGCUUGCUGGGGGAUUAGUGGCGAACGGGUGAGUAACACGUGAGUAACCUGCCCUUGACUCUGGGAUAAGCCUGGGAAACUGGGUCUAAUACCGGAUACGACCAUCUGGCGCAUGUCAUGGUGGUGGAAAGCUUUUGUGGUUUUGGAUGGACUCGCGGCCUAUCAGCUUGUUGGUGGGGUAAUGGCCUACCAAGGCGACGACGGGUAGCCGGCCUGAGAGGGUGACCGGCCACACUGGGACUGAGACACGGCCCAGACUCCUACGGGAGGCAGCAGUGGGGAAUAUUGCACAAUGGGCGCAAGCCUGAUGCAGCGACGCCGCGUGAGGGAUGACGGCCUUCGGGUUGUAAACCUCUUUCAGUAGGGAAGAAGCGUAAGUGACGGUACCUGCAGAAGAAGCGCCGGCUAACUACGUGCCAGCAGCCGCGGUAAUACGUAGGGCGCAAGCGUUAUCCGGAAUUAUUGGGCGUAAAGAGCUCGUAGGCGGUUUGUCGCGUCUGCUGUGAAAGACCGGGGCUCAACUCCGGUUCUGCAGUGGGUACGGGCAGACUAGAGUGCAGUAGGGGAGACUGGAAUUCCUGGUGUAGCGGUGAAAUGCGCAGAUAUCAGGAGGAACACCGAUGGCGAAGGCAGGUCUCUGGGCUGUAACUGACGCUGAGGAGCGAAAGCAUGGGGAGCGAACAGGAUUAGAUACCCUGGUAGAAGGGC
rnacentral:rRNA from 1 species